GCGGCAGCUACACAUGCAAGUCGAGCGGUAACAGAGAGAAGCUUGCUUCUCUGCUGACGAGCGGCGGACGGGUGAGUAAUGCCUGGGAAAUUGCCCUGAUGUGGGGGAUAACCAUUGGAAACGAUGGCUAAUACCGCAUGAUGCCCUUGCUUAUAAUGAGCGGGGGCCAAAGAGGGGGACCUUCGGGCCUCUCGCGUCAGGAUAUGCCCAGGUGGGAUUAGCUAGUUGGUGAGGUAAGGGCUCACCAAGGCGACGAUCCCUAGCUGGUCUGAGAGGAUGAUCAGCCACACUGGAACUGAGACACGGUCCAGACUCCUACGGGAGGCAGCAGUGGGGAAUAUUGCACAAUGGGCGCAAGCCUGAUGCAGCCAUGCCGCGUGUAUGAAGAAGGCCUUCGGGUUGUAAAGUACUUUCAGUCGUGAGGAAGGGGGUAUCGUUAAUAGCGGUAUGCUUUGACGUUAGCGACAGAAGAAGCACCGGCUAACUCCGUGCCAGCAGCCGCGGUAAUACGGAGGGUGCGAGCGUUAAUCGGAAUUACUGGGCGUAAAGCGCAUGCAGGUGGUUUGUUAAGUCAGAUGUGAAAGCCCGGGGCUCAACCUCGGAGUUGCAUUUGAAACUGGCAGGCUAGAGUACUGUAGAGGGGGGUAGAAUUUCAGGUGUAGCGGUGAAAUGCGUAGAGAUCUGAAGGAAUACCAGUGGCGAAGGCGGCCCCCUGGACAGAUACUGACACUCAGAUGCGAAAGCGUGGGGAGCAAACAGGAUUAGAUACCCUGGUAGUCCACGCCGUAAACGAUGUCUACUUGGAGGUUGUGGCCUUGAGCCGUGGCUUUCGGAGCUAACGCGUUAAGUAGACCGCCUGGGGAGUACGGUCGCAAGAUUAAAACUCAAAUGAAUUGACGGGGGCCCGCACAAGCGGUGGAGCAUGUGGUUUAAUUCGAUGCAACGCGAAGAACCUUACCUACUCUUGACAUCCAGAGAAGCCAGCGGAGACGCAGGUGUGCCUUCGGGAGCUCUGAAACAGGUGCUGCAUGGCUGUCGUCAGCUCGUGUUGUGAAAUGUUGGGUUAAGUCCCGCAACGAGCGCAACCCUUAUCCUUGUUUGCCAGCAAUUCAGGUCGGGAACUCCAAGGGAAACUUGCCGGUGAUAAACCCGGAAGAAAGGGGGGGACAAACUUCAAGUCAU
rnacentral:rRNA from 1 species